rnacentral:rRNA from 1 species
GACGAACGCUGGCGGCGUGCCUAAUACAUGCAAGUCGAGCGGACCAAAGGGAGCUUGCUCCUGGAGGUUAGCGGCGAACGGGUGAGUAACACGUGGGCAACCUGCCUGUAAGACUGGGAUAACAUCGAGAAAUCGGUGCUAAUACCGGAUAAUAAAAAGAACUGCAUGGUUCUUUUUUGAAAGAUGGUUUCGGCUAUCACUUACAGAUGGGCCCGCGGCGCAUUAGCUAGUUGGUGAGGUAACGGCUCACCAAGGCAACGAUGCGUAGCCGACCUGAGAGGGUGAUCGGCCACACUGGGACUGAGACACGGCCCAGACUCCUACGGGAGGCAGCAGUAGGGAAUCUUCCGCAAUGGACGAAAGUCUGACGGAGCAACGCCGCGUGAGUGAUGAAGGUUUUCGGAUCGUAAAACUACUGUUGUUAGGGAAGAACAAGUGCCGUUCGAAAGGGCGGCGACCUUGACGGUACCUAACGAGAAAGCCACGGCUAACUACGUGCCAGCAGCCGCGGUAAAG